rnacentral:rRNA from 1 species
UACGGAGGGUGCAAACGUUGCUCGGAAUCAUUGGGCGUAAAGCGCACGUAGGCGGUCCGCUAAGUCGGGUGUGAAAUCCCUCGGCUCAACCGAGGAAGUGCAUUCGAAACUGACGGACUUGAGUAUGGAAGAGGGUCGUGGAAUUCCCGGUGUAGAGGUGAAAUUCGUAGAUAUCGGGAGGAACACCAGUGGCGAAGGCGGCGACCUGGGCCAAUACUGACGCUGAGGUGCGAAAGCGUGGGGAGCGAACGGG